rnacentral:rRNA from 1 species
AUUGAACGCUGGCGGCAGGCCUAACACAUGCGAGUCGAGCGGAUGAAGGGAGCUUGCUCCUGGAUUCAGCGGCGGACGGGUGAGUAAUGCCUAGGGAUCUGCCUGGUAGUGGGGGAUAACGUCCGGAAACGGGCGCUAAUACCGCAUACGUCCUGAGGGAGAAAGUGGGGGAUCUUCGGACCUCACGCUAUCAGAUGAGCCUAGGUCGGAUUAGCUAGUUGGUGGGGUAAAGGCCUACCAAGGCGACGAUCCGUAACUGGUCUGAGAGGAUGAUCAGUCACACUGGAACUGAGACACGGUCCAGACUCCUACGGGAGGCAGCAGUGGGGAAUAUUGGACAAUGGGCGAAAGCCUGAUCCAGCCAUGCCGCGUGUGUGAAGAAGGUCUUCGGAUUGUAAAGCACUUUAAGUUGGGAGGAAGGGCAGUAAGUUAAUACCUUGCUGUUUUGACGUUACCAACAGAAUAAGCACCGGCUAACUUCGUG